GUCUCAAGACUAAGCCAUGCAUGUCUAAGUAUAAACGCUUCUAUACUGUGAAACUGCGAAUGGCUCAUUAAAUCAGUUAUAGUUUAUUUGAUGGUUCCUUACUACUUGGAUAACCGUAGUAAUUCUAGAGCUAAUACAUGCAGAAAGUCCCGACUUCUUGGAAGGGAUGUAUUUAUUAGAUCCAAAACCAGCGCGAGUUUCCUUCGGGGGCUCGGUUGCAUGGUGAUUCAUGAUAACUGCUCGAAUCGCAUGGCCUUGCGCCGGCGAUGAUCCAUUCAAAUUUCUGCCCUAUCAACUUUCGAUGGCAAGGUAGUGGCUUGCCAUGGUGACAACGGGUGACGGAGAAUUAGGGUUCGAUUCCGGAGAGGGAGCCUGAGAAACGGCUACCACAUCCAAGGAAGGCAGCAGGCGCGCAAAUUACCCAAUCCCGACUCGGGGAGGUAGUGACAAUAAAUAACAAUGCUGGGCUAUCGUAGUCUGGCAAUUGGAAUGAGUACAAUCUAAACCCCUUAACGAGGAACAAUUGGAGGGCAAGUCUGGUGCCAGCAGCCGCGGUAAUUCCAGCUCCAAUAGCGUAUAUUAAAGUUGUUGCAGUUAAAAAGCUCGUAGUUGGAUUUCGGGGCAGCCCGGCUGGUCCGUCGCAAGGCGAGUACUGGUCGGCCGCCCUUCCUCUCGAAAGCCCCGACUGCUCUUCACUGUAGUGGUCGGGGAGUUCGGGACGUUUACUUUGAAAAAAUUAGAGUGUUCAAGGCAGGCCAUCGCCUGAAUACAUUAGCAUGGAAUAAUGGAAGAGGACCUCGGUCCUAUUUUGUUGGUUUCUAGGGCCGAAGUAAUGAUUAAGAGGGACAGUUGGGGGCAUUCGUAUUUAAUUGUCAGAGGUGAAAUUCUCGGAUUUAUGAAAGACGAACAACUGCGAAAGCAUUUGCCAAGGAUGUUUUCAUUAAUCAAGAACGAAAGUUAGGGGUUCGA
rnacentral:rRNA from 1 species